GCCGGGGUGGCCGAGCUAGGUCCAAGGCGCAGGACUCGAGCCUUUAAAGAAAAGCUGGACAUCCUGUCCCCGCAAGGGGGCCCGGGUUCAAAUCCCGGCCCCGGCA
rnacentral:tRNA from 1 species